CAGCCGCCGCGGGAAUACGAAGGGUGCAAGCGUUAAUCGGAAUUACUGGGCGUAAAGCGUGCGUAGGCGGUGAGUUAAGUCUGCUGUGAAAUCCCCGGGCUCAACCUGGGAAUGGCAGUGGAUACUGGCUCGCUAGAGUGUGUCAGAGGAUGGUGGAAUUCCCGGUGUAGUGGUGAAAUGCGUAGAGAUCGGGAGGAGCAUCAGUGGCGAAGGCGGCCAUCUGGGACAACACUGACGCUGAGGCACGAAAGCGUGGGGAGCAAACCGGAUUAGAUACCCCAGUAGUCCCUGUCUCUUAUAC
rnacentral:rRNA from 1 species